CCUUUAAAAGAAGCAGGACGCAGACAUAUUCCUUUGGUUCUCAGUGUGUGUGCGGUGUUUGUGUUAUAGUUGGAAAAUGGCAGAAGGCUCAACAAAGGACCACGAAUUGUUCACUUGUCCAGUGUGUCUGGAUCUGCUGAAAGAGCCGGUGACUAUUCCCUGUGGACACAGUUACUGCAUGGGCUGCAUUAAGGACUGCUGGGAUCGGGAAGAUCAGAAGGGAGUCUACAGCUGCCCCCAGUGCCGACAGACUUUCACUCCAAGGCCUGUGUUGAACAAAAACAACAUAUUUUCUGCCUUAGUGGAGGAAAUGCGGAAGACUACAAACCAGGCUGCUUCUCCUGCCGAUAAACACACUGAACCUGGACAAGUGGUGUGUGACGUUUGCACUGGGGGGGAAAGCAAAGCCGUCAAGUCCUGCCUGGAGUGUCUGGUGUCUUACUGUGAAUCUCACUACAAAGUCCACAACCUGAUGAACCCAGGACGUAAACACAAAGUGAUUGACGCCACAGCUGACCUACAGGAGAGGAGCUGCUCUCAGCAUGGGAAGGCGCUGGAAAUCUUCUGCAAGACUGACCAGAGUUGCAUCUGCUACCUGUGUACAAUGGACGAACACAGUGGACACAAGACCGUCUCAGCUGCAGCAGAAAGAGCAGAGAAACAGAAGCAGGUGGUGGAGACACAGAGUAAAUUCCAGCAGAGAAUCCAGGAGAGAGAGAAGGAGUUGAAGGAGCUGAGGAAGACUGUGGAGACCCUCAAGAGCUCUGCACGGACAACAGUGGAGGACUGUGAGAGGAUCUUCACUGAGAUGAUCCAGCGCAUUGAGGGAAGGCGCUCUGAGGUGAAACGGCUCAUUGAAGCUCAGGAGGAGAGUGAGGUGAGUGAGGCUGAAGAACUGGUCAAGCAGCUGGAGGAGGAGAUUGAUGAGCUGAAGAGGAGAGAUGCUGAACUGGACCAGCUUCCACACACAGAGGAUCACAUCCAUUUCCUCAAGAGAUUUCAGUCUGUCUGUGCAUCCGAUGAGUAUGAAGACCUACCCAGUGUAGCUGUCAAUCAAACCCUCUCUUUUGAGGGUGUGAAGGCUUCUGUCUCUGCGCUGAAGCAGCAAGUAGAAGACUUCUGCAAGAAGGAGGUCAUCAAGAUAUCUGAAGAAGUAACCAGAAUCAAGACUGUUUUGCCCUCUACACCAAAGACAAGAGAGGAUUUCCUGCAAUAUUCCUGUCAUUUUACACUGGAUCCAAACACUGCAAACAACUAUAUAACUCUCAGCGAAGGAAACAGAAAGAUUGAAUGGAAGAGUGAGUCAGCGCGACCUGACAAUCCAGAGAGAUUUCAGAAAGUGCGUCAAGUGCUGUGUAGGGAGAGUGUGUCUGGACGAUGCUAUUGGGAGGUGGAGUGGAGUGGAGGGGGGAUUUCCAUAGCAGUCUCAUAUAAAGGAAUCGACAGGACAAGAGUGUUUGAUGUAAGUGUUUUUGGACGUAAUGAUCAGUCUUGGAGUCUAGAGUACAAUUCCCCAAACUUCUCUUUCUGGCAUAAUAAUCAAGAGACACGUCUAACCCCCAUCUGCAGUUCUAAAAUAGGUGUGUAUGUGGACUGCAGGGCUGGAACUCUGUCCUUCUAUAGUGUCUCUGACGCAAUGACCCUUCUGCACAGAGUACAGACCACAUUCACUGACACACUCUACCCUGGGUUUAGGACUACGCAUUAUGAUACAUCAGCAAAGAUUUUGUAACUAUAUAUAUCUGAAUACCUGAAUAGCCUUUAUGCGUGAUCAGUGAGUGAUUUACUAAAUUUGUAUUUCAUUUAGAUUGAUUUGAUGUUUGAAAUGUGUCUGUCUAUCCACAAGCCAAUCUUUCUGGAAUAAAAUAUUUUUUUAAAUAGUUGGGUUUUUGUGUGUUGCUUUUACAUUCAGUGCAUACAAAUAUCAUGUCAGGUUAAUAAAAUAGAAUCAGGUCAACACAUUUAUGAGAAUCCCCUACAUGGAGUCAAUCAUAUCUUGCUGUGUUAAAAUGACUGAACUUGAAAAAAGGUAAAUUAUUUAAAAAGCAGACACUGAUAUACUAUCAUAUAAGGUUUAGUUUAAUAGCCUAUGAAAAAGGAGGG